rnacentral:rRNA from 1 species
GGAUGAACGCUGGCGGCGUGCCUAAUACAUGCAAGUCGAGCGAACGGCCGAGAAGCUUGCUUCUCUGAUGUUAGCGGCGGACGGGUGAGUAACACGUGGAUAACCUACCUAUAAGACUGGGAUAACUUCGGGAAACCGGAGCUAAUACCGGAUAAUAUUUUGAACCGCAUGGUUCAAAAGUGAAAGACGGUCUUGCUGUCACUUAUAGAUGGAUCCGCGCUGCAUUAGCUAGUUGGUAAGGUAACGGCUUACCAAGGCAACGAUGCAUAGCCGACCUGAGGGGGUGAUCGGCCACACUGGAACUGAGACACGGUCCAGACUCCUACGGGAGGCAGCAGUAGGGAAUCUUCCGCAAUGGGCGAAAGCCUGACGGAGCAACGCCGCGUGAGUGAUGAAGGUCUUCGGAUCGUAAAACUCUGUUAUUAGGGAAGAACAUAUGUGUAAGUAACUGUGCACAUCUUGACGGUACCUAAUCAGAAAGCCACGGCUAACUACGUG